rnacentral:miRNA from 1 species
AUAUCUAUGUGAGAGGACUGCGC